AGAGAACUAUCAGGGGUGCGUUUAGCCAAAUCAUCCACAUAAAAAGAAGCCUUGGAUCACAAUGACUGCUGCCUUCUAGGAGACAAACUGAAUCAACUCUAGAAGUGGUGUCAUUUAAUGCUCAAAGGCACGAGUCUGAUGCUUGGCUAUGGAAGAUCUCAAGAUCUCAAUUCAUCAAGCACUUCCCGGAAUCAGGCAACCACAGCAGUUACACAUGCAAUAUCUUCAUGUUUAACAACUCUGGCGUUGGUAUAGCGUUGGCUUGAUCAUCUGGUGGUGGAAGCUACAAUCCUGACGGACAGACUCUGUUGGCUUCAUAGUAUGACUAAGAUUUAGUGUUUUAGAUCAGAGUUUUGCUAUGAUACUCCAAAAUCUUUUUUGAUCUUUUUAUCAUUAGCAUUUUUUUUUUAUUGUUUCAUUUAAGAUGGAUGGCAUUGAUUUAUUCAUAGACAACCGAUUUUAAUCAAUCCUGUGUAUGGCUAGUGUUGUAUAUAAUUCGAACUA